rnacentral:rRNA from 1 species
AGCAGUAGCCGCGGUAAUACGUAGGGUGCAAGCGUUAAUCGGAAUUACUGGGCGUAAAGCGUGCGCAGGCGGUUCGCUAAGACAGAUGUGAAAUCCCCGGGCUUAACCUGGGAACUGCAUUUGUGACUGGCGGGCUAGAGUAUGGCAGAGGGGGGUAGAAUUCCACGUGUAGCAGUGAAAUGCGUAGAGAUGUGGAGGAAUACCGAUGGCGAAGGCGGCCAGCUGGGACAACACUGACGCUGAGGCACGAAAGCGUGGGGAGCAAACAGGAUUAGAUACCCCCGUAGUCCCUGUCUCUUAUAA